UGCGUAGGCGGGGCAAUUAGUCAGUGGUGAAAUCCUGCGGCUUAACCGUAGAACUGCCAUUGAUACUGUUGCUCUUGAGUAUAGUUGAGGUGGGCGGAAUGUGUAAUGUAGCGGUGAAAUGCAUAGAGAUUACACAGAACACCAAUUGCGAAGGCAGCUCACUAAGCUAUAACUGACGCUGAGGCACGAAAGCGUGGGGAGCGAACAGGAUUAGAUACCCUGGUAGUCC
rnacentral:rRNA from 1 species